rnacentral:rRNA from 1 species
AGUGAACGCUGGCGGUAGGCCUAACACAUGCAAGUCGAACGGCAGCACAGGAGAGCUUGCUCUCUGGGUGGCGAGUGGCGGACGGGUGAGGAAUACAUCGGAAUCUACCUUUUCGUGGGGGAUAACGUAGGGAAACUUACGCUAAUACCGCAUACGACCUACGGGUGAAAGCAGGGGAUCUUCGGACCUUGCGCGAUUGAAUGAGCCGAUGUCGGAUUAGCUAGUUGGCGGGGUAAAGGCCCACCAAGGCGACGAUCCGUAGCUGGUCUGAGAGGAUGAGCAGCCACACUGGAACUGAGACACGGUCCAGAGUCCUACGGGAGGCAUCAGUGGGGAAUAUUGGACAAUGGGCGCAAGCCUGAUCCAGCCAUACCGCGUGGGUGAAGAAGGCCUUCGGGUUGUAAAGCCCUUUUGUUGGGAAAGAAAUCCAGCUGGUUAAUACCCGGUUGGGAUGACGGUACCCAAAGAAUAAGCACCGGCUAACUUCGUGCCAGCAGCCGCCGUAA